CCCUACCCACUCAGUAGUGCUGGGAAAUGGACCUGAGAACUGCAGGGAAAGGAGGAGGCCUAGGUUUGCUGUGCCAGAAAAAAAUGGGCAAUAAAUGAAUUAACCUUCAGAAGAGGCGCAGAAACCCAGGCAUCCAGACAAAGAGGGAAUUGAUUGUCGGGAGGUAUCUUGUGCCUGUUUCCUAAGUUUACAGUUUUGUGGUGAGCCAGCCCUCCUUGACUGCUUGUCACAUGCAGACUCGGCUUUCCUGGAAUGUCAGACAGCAGCACUCGCACCUCCGCAAUGUUGGGGGACAUCACCCAAGAAAUCAGUUGUCUUGAACAGUGCAAGUCUGACAACAAAUACCCGGAGUUCAGAGGAACACAUACAAGUUCAUUAAAUAAGCAGAAAAAAAGUGUGUGAUGAAAAGAUAACACAAGUAUUUCCUCCAACCACUUGCAACUGAUUUUUAUAACAUGAAAAUUCUCCCUUUACAGGGUAAUUAUGUCGGAAGACAGCCCUGAAAACAGAUGAUGGGUGCACCAGCCUGUGAUGAACACCUACAAUUCAUUCACAUAGAGGCUCAUGCUUGAGAUCUAUUCUCCUCUGAUUUCUCCUUACUCUCAGGAGUUUAUAAAUAUCUUUCUACUGUAAUAAGCCAACAUAUACACAGUGGUAGGGAUGUGUAGAACCAAGACUGACUCUUCUUUCUUCCUCCCUCCCUCUUUCACUUCCUGAAAGGGGUAAACAAGCACAGUAGUUGAUCCUUUCCUCAUGGUUGCCAGAGGUAAAAUCUGGAAAGGCUGAACAACAAAAUAAAUUGGGCCUACCCAAUAAUUUCUAUUUUAAGAAUACUUGCUGAUUCUUGUAACCCUGCUGAAAAUGACACACACUUUGAGGCUUCAGAUCAGAUAUUCCUUGAUGUAUUUCAGGAGUGCAAUAAUGUUGAAAUAUAUUAAGAAAAAAACAUUCUUAGCCUCCUAACAGCAGAAAAUAAGUGCACAUGUUUAAAUUUUCAAGGGAACAGACUGGAGUUCUGGCAAAUGCUUUUUAAUAUUGCAAAUGGAAAACAAUGACUACACUGAGAGAGAUACAGAAACUCCCUCAUACAAUUCAAGCAAUAUAUUUCCUUUUCAUGAGUUCCUUUAGGCAAUUUGUGUCCUAAACCUGCAAAGGCAUGCAGAAGUUUAACUUAGUCUACAUACACGUUUCUACUUACAGCUUGCAAACUAAUAAAAAACUUUCAUCUGUUACAGCUAUGAGAUAUAUACUCACUGACUCCUCUCAUGUUAUUUUACUUACUUUUGUAUAACCUCAACCAUUAAAAAUAAAUUAAAAAAAAAAGUAAAAUAAAGUGGAACACAUUGAAGGAGAAAAUAGAACUGUUGUAGUACACUAUUAAAAACACCUACCCCCUCAACUACUAGCAAAAAAAAAAAAAAAAAAUGUGAGGGGAAGAUAAAAAUGAUUUGUGUUCUUACCUAUCUUGUGUUAUAUCAACAAUGAAACCCCCCACACACCAAAAGUGCAGUGGUAACGUUGUAGCUCAUUUACUGAAUCUUCUGGCAAUAGAAACUUAAGAGAUGUACGUCAUCCUGGCAUUACUUUUCUGCCAACUUAAUGUUUCAUGUAGGUUUUUUAAACUAAUUUAGAAAAAAAAAGGAAAAGAGUGGAGUCAGAAAAUAAAAUAAAGCACCUACACUGACACUAUUUGUAUUUUGACAUUAGACUUCUUAAUUACAUCUGAUUAAAUUUCUCAUGCUUUUACAUCCAUUGUUUUCCAUUGCUGGCAGUUUUCUAAAACACAUUUUUGCUUGUCUUCCUAGAACAAAUUAAAAUGGAUGGGAACAUGUUGGAGGCAAGGAGCAGCAAGGAAAGCAACAAUUAAAUGUUAAGUAACAAACUGGAUUUUCUAACAUCAACAGAAUUGACAGGCAUUUUAUUGUUGGUCUAUCAUUUUUAAAGUAUUAUUAUUUUACCUAAGUAUAAUACUGGUUUGGAGUAUUAGCUAGACGUAUAUUUAGACUAGAGAUUCCUUUUAAAGCAAGUUCUCUGUUGUUGUUUUUUUGUUGUUGUUGUUUGUUUGUUUGUUUUAGUAUUUAUUUAUACAAACACACCCUAUCUUUGAAAGGGAUCCCUGAUACUUUUUUUGAGUGCUAACUUUUCUCUGCAGGGCAUCACAUACUUCAAUAAAACCACAUAAAGUUGGGAGGCAGACAAGCAUUCAGUGAUUAGACGCAUCAGAGCUUACAUUACAGUCACUGACAUCCCAGUGUCAUUCAGAACACAGGCUGUAAAGCUGCUGGAAUUUCCACACUAACUAAUCUUAAGAAACUCCAUGCACUACGCUCAUUAUGGGACCCACACAGUUUCCUCCUAUGUCUCACUGGUCUUGCAACAAAGCUUACAAUCUCAUGGGAGUUCAGGAUAAACUGGUCGCUCAGAAGUACCACCUCACAUCUCAGUGGAACUGAAACCAGCAGCCAUGUUGUGAAAGCCUGUGAACAUCCCUUUCGUUAUAGACAGCUCUACAAGAAUCAGACAGACUUCACUUAUGUCAUUACUUAGGACUGCGACCUUUACCCUGUAAGGACUAUUCACAUCAAUUCAAGUCUCAGUGCUUUAAUUACUAAAAGCUGCUAGCAAAAGUUUAAUGAAUUAAAAAUCACUGAGAGAGGAUUGUUUUACAAGCUGACCUGCCUAAUGCUGUAUCUUUCUACUUUUGUCUCAGCACAUGCUGUCCAGAUCAGUGGCCACUUAAAAGAAAUGGCUGAGAUAGAUUGCGAGGGUUCAUAAUGUAGAUGUAGAAUGUAAUGGUAGAUUGUGAGGGUUCAUAAAAUCAUGCAGCCUGAAAGAGCAGUCCAUCUCUUUAACCUAUUGCUAACCUCCUGAGAAUUAGACAUUAAAACUUUAACUACUGACUCUUGUUCAUCCCCAGAAUUAAAAGGAAAGUAUAGGCAACUGCAGAAAUAUCCUAAACAUAGAACUUUUAAUAACAGAUGCUGCCUUUUGGAGGUUACUGCUUCUCACCAUUGACUAUAAAAGGAACCCUAGGGUUGCUAGUAUAAAUCUAGAUGUGUCCCUUUAAGACGUCUGUGAUUGAUGAACAAUUCCCACCCAAAUGUUAAGGGAAGAAAUACUACACAACAACGGUAUAAACUGUGUAAAUUCAUCACCUGGGGCAUGAGGCCCACCGGAUGUUCUUGGGUUUGGAUUGGUUUGGCAGGAAGUGUGAGGAAGCUGAUAACUUGCCAUAUAUCAGCUAAACUGAAGAAAAAGUGAAGGACAGGGUACUUAAAGGGAAAAGAGACAAAGGGAGUUGUGCAAAGUACCAAAGAGGGUGGGGAAGAGCAUGGUUCAGCACUUUAACAUGAGGUCAGGAAUGUCCCAGUGAAAGAUCUCCAGAUGAUCCCAAAUUACCUCAUAUGUUUUGGAAACUGCACUAUGUGAUUGAGUCCUUGAUUGGUUCACCUCUGCAUUUUCCCCUACGUACAGUAAACAAGCAUGAACACUAACACUUCAAUCAUCCCCAUCCCCUCUACUAAGUCUUAGACCAGAAGAGAUGCUGGAGAGAGAUGGCUCCAUUCAUGUGCUCUGGUUCCAUAAGAAGUGCUUCUGCAGUUACCUGUGGAGCAAGUACUCCUGCAGACACUCAAUAAUUACGAGUUCAUUCAUAAUAUUGUCUUCAACUUAUAUAGCUGAAACAUGCACAAAUGUACUGGGAUGGUUGUUUCCAGAUGGUAUGGACUGAUGGAUUAUUGCUAACCCUUAAGAAUUUUAAAGACCAUACAUAUGACAUAAAGGAUACCUCAUACAUUUACUGCUAAAUAGAGUUUGAGAGAUUAGCCUUGGGCCCUUUGUGGUAUCCUGGUGGUCUACUCUCUGCAUGGCUCACAGUCCAAUAGUCAGUACUAAGGCUUGGGGUCUUGAACAUGAAAGGUGCCAUGACCACAGUGCAAGGGACUUAGUUGUGGUUAACAUCAAGCUGAGUUGUUUUAAAAAAAGAUAAACAAGAAUUUUUUUCUGGAGAUUAAUUUUUGAAUCCCUUUUGGGUAUCCAAAGAAUUUUUCAGUAACCUAAGCGUGUCAGCUUUAGAAAGUGCUAAGAAUGUACAACUUUUACAGAAUCUAGACUGAACUGAAAAGAACAAAAAUUUUGGACUGCCAACAUGUACUAAAGAUCCUUUGUAUCUUUCAAUCCACCCCUGCCUUAAACCAAAUUGCUUUACUGCUGCAUAACACAUUGCAGCCUGAAAGCAACCUACAGUAAGCCUACUACAAGAUGUGUCCAUAACACAAUACAUUUAAACUCUGGUGGUUCACAACAGGGCUGCCAUGUUAUCUAAUUGACAAAAGGAAACUUAGACAGAGGAAAAUCCUAUCAAUUUGUUUCUACUAAUCCAAAACAGAAAUAUAGCUGUUGUCACAAGCACUUGUUUAAUUUUCUUCUUGUUUAUAAGCUAAUAAGUAACACUAAAUUAUUUGCGAAAGUUUGUUCCCACUUCACUUUGCAUUCAUAGCUGCAGUAUUAUCUGAUAAUUAAAGGCAAUGCCCUAGUUAAGACUUUACUAUUUUUAUUACCUAUAAUCUAAUUCUCUGAGGAUACUUAGACUUAGACAUACACUAAUGCAAACAUUUUAUGUAACACUUUUAAUAUUAUUUAUGGUACUAUAUAAUCUGAAAACACAAUUAUUCUUGAACAAGGCUUAUAAGGAUAAAUCCAGUUUUAAACUAUGAAUGUAAGGUAGGUCCUUAUUACUGUUUAAAAAAUGUAGUUUUAGGUUGGUUGGAGAUUUUUGUUAAUAUCUUAAGAACAGGUAAGGUGAUUCAGAGCAGAAUCUGUCAACAAAGGAAGCAAAUAAUUGAUUCAAGUAUGUUCCGAUCGUUGUUUCCCACUUGAGUGAUUAAUUCUUGAUUAAGGUAGUGGUAAUAAGGCGGUGCAUUUUUCUGAUACUCUUCCUUGAAGGAAAUUCAGAGUGGUAGCUAUUAGCUCUAAUGACUCUUAAAUGUUUCAAAACCAUCUUGAACAAUCGCCAAGAGGCAGAAAUAAGAAUGUUUGCUGAAGGAACCCAAGGCUUAACUGAAUUAUCUGUUGUCUUAUCCAAAGGACUUUGAAGUAGCAUUACUAAGGGACAAUUUUUUUGUUCUACUCAAGACAGUUACCCAGCACUGAUGAGAGAGAGGAGGGGUGAUAUUUACUCUUCCUAAAACUAAUUUCUGUGAGUCAGGAGCGUGACUCAGGCUGGUCAGUGAUGUUGAUGUUAGCCUUGGAGAGAGACAGCUUGGUUAACCGUGUUGCUUCUUAUCUUUGGGGGUAGAAGGAAAAAAAAAAUAAACAAAAUACUUGUAAUCUGAUCACAGAGCAGCGUAUAACAACACUGCAAUUUAUGAACCAGAUAUUCAGUCAGCAUGAAUUGGAACAGACCCACAAAAUGAGUGAACUCAAUGGAGCCUCACAAACAUCGGCUGACCAUAUGCUCUUAAAGAUAAGAACACGGCUUACAAACCAACACACCUUAAAACGUCUGCAACAGGGAAAAAAAAAAAAAAAAAAAAAAAAAAAAAAAAGGAAAAAGAAAUAGAUUACCUCGUUGUGGCAUCAUACAUACCAUGAGACCUACAAAAGCUCUCUUGCACCUUCCUAACUACAAUGUAUACUCCCACAGUUUGAGUCCUGGUGCCUGGCAGGUGAGCUGCCUGACAAAUCCUAAUCCAUACUAAGGGACAGACCGAUAGCAGGCCCAGAUGAGCUACAGCAACGUGAUUUUUAACAAAUCCUCCUCUUCAACUGGCCCAAAAUGUUUCCAGGGCCACCAUGCCUGGGUCUUUUUCCACCUUUUAGGAAUUCAAGGGAUUUUGCCAAGGGGAAGAAAGUAAAGAGGAUUGCUCCAAACUGGGGAAGUGCUACAUAGGAAAUGUCCUUGCAAUAGAGUAGCUGCGUGCUCACUGAAUACAUUUUUGAGCUCUGCUAGCAGAUAAUUUGCAGAGUAAUAGCACACAUGCAUUCAAGAGGCAGCCAUGAUCAUAUUGUCUUAUCACAUCCAUACCCUUCCCCCCCCCUUUUUUUAUGCUUUAUGAAAAGCUUCCCAAACAAUUUAUUGUCUUUAUAGCAGUUAUAAGGUUAUUCCACCCUGCUCUAUUUUUUUUUUCUUCUCUCCCAUGCCUGAUCCAAGUCCUUCAGUGGGUCAGACUCCCUCUCAAUUGUAGGAUUUUAUACUUCAUGGCAUUUUUUUUUUCUUUGCAUGUAGCUGCUGCACCUUUGACUGUGUUUUCUCUGGUGUGGGGCUGUGAUGCUGUUCUGUUGUGGCAGCGCCUGGAAAGAACAUGUAAAUGUACAAAGCCCAGUUUAUACUUUCUGAUAUAUUUCAGAUAGAGCAUACAUGAAGAAGACGUUUGUGCAAUAGCUGUUCUUUUUCACAUUCCUUUGUUUACUUCCGUGUUAUCUUUCACCCUCCUGAUAACGCACUAGAAGAACAUAAGAGGAAAAUAAUUAAAUCCAGAACGUUGUGAUGGAAAUGGAGAAGAGCACAAAGCUUCAAGUACUUCGACUUAUCAGAUGCAUUCACAACAGGAAACAACAGGAAACGCAUGAUGCAGGAUACCGAGUUCCUGAAUAGUCAAGAGAAAGAAUUUGGAGCUGAUAAGAAUGCUAACGGGGGUAGAUAGAUAGGCCUCUUAGAUAGGCCUCAUUCCUAAGGGAGGGGCAAUGGCGAUUUGGAGACGAAUGGGCUGAUUUCGUUUUGUUUCACGCGGUGAUUGCUAGGCUAUAUGAGCUGACAAUAGAGCAAUUUGGCCAUGGUGACACCUACAAGAUGAAAGAAAGGGGAAUUGCUCGUAAUCAAGUUGUUGGUUAACCUCAUAGCAAAAGGAAACAGGAUCCGUAGGGAUGCGGAGUGCCGGGAGGAUGAUGAGAAGCGGCCUCCACGGCACCGCGGGGGUGGCAGAGGGCCCAAGGGCAGGGUCCUGGUCUGGGGUGGUCUGCGAAGGCUGACUGUGAUAAACCUCGCUGGUGCUUGGGCUCUGGGGAGUUCUUUGAACAUUGGUUUCUUCAUGCUUGCACGUAAAACGUCUCCUAACCACUCCAUGCCCCGUGGAUUCAUCAAAGAAACAAAAGAUGAAAAAAGUAAAUAAAUAAAUAAAUAAAUAAUAAAAAAUAAAAAUUAAAAACCACCGAUUUCACUCAUUCCUGCAUUGGCCCAGUUUGAAGAGGAUCAGCUGUAGCAGAGCGGUGUGGAGAUACGUUUCAAAACCCAAUUCAGUAUAGAAGCACACACAAAGUAGGAGAGGUCUGUGUGCUUUGUAACUAUCCUCUCUCUUGGGUCAAGCCCACCCUGCCUCUGUGCCCAAAACCAAGGUUACGAGGUAGCCAUUCAGCCAGGUGCAAGCACUUACACCCUGGUUGCCUCGCUCAAUUUUUACCAAGGGCUAUAAUGAUCCAAGCAUGCUCUUUAUGGUAAAAGUCUCAUGCUAAGUAGAUCAGAUUCAGGCAACCCACUUAAAUUCUCCGUGACACAUUUUCUGCCUCUGUAAAAAUGUAUGAUAUCAUUGGAGGGCUGGUCACAGAAUGAGCUGAUCUACUGUCAUGCAUGUGUCAAGCCUGGCCUUUCCAAAUUGUCUGCAAACCACACUGAAUUUUCCUGAAAUGGCAAUGUUUCCUCAAAAGUUACAUGAAAUAUUUCCAGAAAUAUUCCUUUGUGCAUCUCGUUUUUUUGCUUCCUUUAUAAGGCUGCUGACCUAAAUUACACGGAAUGCUUUCUGCUACUCAGUUAUAGGCCCUAACCUUUAGAGGAAAGGAGG
ensembl:lncRNA